rnacentral:lncRNA from 1 species
GGUUCUCCUAUACCUUCUGAUUAAUAUGGAAUUCCUCCUCACGGGGAAAGCAUUCUGUUCCACAAUUUCAGAUUCAGUGCUAGAAACGAACUCACUGACUGGAUAGCUGAAUUUUAUCUCACGGUCUAUUCCUGAUUUCUGGGCUAGUUGCAAGGCAGAAAAGAAAAUCCCAAACAUUCAUCAUCAAGAAGAAGAAGGAGGAAGAGGAGGAGGAGGAGGAACAGGAGGAGGAGGAGGAGUAAAAACCUGGAACCAAUAAAAUCGGACUCCCCAUGUGGUACAGAAUUUCUGCACUGGAUUCCAAUCAACUUGACAAAUAUCAUGACUUUUUUUCUUUCAAGUCUACUACUGCGACAUAGUUGAAAUCUCGUCCUCAUGUGCCCUACAAUCUUAUAUGUACAUACUC